rnacentral:rRNA from 1 species
UACGUAGGUGGCAAGCGUUAUCCGGAAUUACUGGGCGUAAAGCGCACGCAGGCGGUCUUUUAAGUUUGACGUGAAAGCUCCCGGCUUAACUGGGAGAGGUCGUUGAAGACUGGAAGACUUGAGGCAAUGAGAGGGGUGUAGAAUUCCCGGUGUAGUGGUGGAAUGCGUAAAUAUCGGGGGGAAUACCAGUGGCGAAAGCGGCACCCUAGCGUUAGCCUGACGCUCAUGUGCGAAAGCGUGGGGAGCGAACGGG